CAGCUGUGUCGCUGAAUCGACAAUGUGGGGCUCCGUCCGCUGCAGUAGGGACCAGUGAUCAACGGCGGAGCUGUUGGUUCACGUCCACGGGAAAUAAUUUCAGCCACCGACCAUUCAUACCCCGCCGAAUCAAAAGCUGGGCUUCAGCUUUGAGACACAGGAUGUACCGUACUCUUUGCCACAAACCGAGUCUUAUCGGUCCCCCCCGCCAGACAUAGUCCUAUCCAAGCCAGACAGAAACGUAUGCGAACCUAACAAGCCAUUGUCAUCCUUCGACUUGGCCAUCGACAACAAGGACUUUGACUAUGGUAACCAAGGAAGGAUCAACGCGGGCUACUAGAGUCUAUAUAAAUCUCACUGUUGUUAGGUUUAAGGAUAUAUGCGUACAUUCAUUAAGAUAGUGGAUACACAUGUUUUCCAAUUGUUAAUUUAUUUAUACUAAGCUAAGUUUUGAUGAAUAAACCUAUUUAAAAAUCA